UACGUAGGAGGCGAGCGUUGUCCGGAAUUACUGGGCGUAAAGCGCGCGUAGGCGGGUUCAUGCGUCGGCGGUGAAAGCCCCCCGGCUCACCUGGGGGGAGUGCUGCCGAUACGGUGAACCUUGGAGGGCGGUAGGGGGCAGGUGGAACGCCCCGGAGUAGCGGUGAAAUGCGUUUGAGAUCGGGGCAGAACACCGGUGGCGAAGGCGGCCUGCUGGGCCGCACCUGACGCUGAGGCGCGAAAAGCCGGGGGGAGCGA
rnacentral:rRNA from 1 species